CCUACGGGGGGCAGCAGUGGGGCAUAUUGGGCAAUGGGCGCAAGCCUGACCCAGCAACGCCGCGUGAAGGAAGAAGGCUUUCGGGUUGUAAACUUCUUUUAUCAGGGACGAAGCAAGUGACGGUACCUGCUGAAUAAGCCACGGCUAACUACGUGCCAGCAGCCGCGGUAAUACGUAGGUGGCAAGCGUUAUCCGGAUUUACUGGGUGUAAAGGGCGUGUAGGCGGGAGUGCAAGUCAGAUGUGAAAACUAUGGGCUCAACCCAUAGCCUGCAUUUGAAACUGUACUUCUUGAGUGCUGGAGAGGCAAUCGGAAUUCCGUGUGUAGCGGUGAAAUGCGUAGAUAUACGGAGGAACACCAGUGGCGAAGGCGGAUUGCUGGACAGUAACUGACGCUGAGGCGCGAAAGCGUGGGGAGCAAACAGGAGUAGAUACCCGAGUAGUC
rnacentral:rRNA from 1 species